UGCACUUAAUUGAAAAACUACUCCUGGAUGUGCUGCUCUGAUCAUGCCUCCGCCGAGACAGAGGAACGUAUGCCCUUUAAAGCACUCUAAACCUCCGUAAGGUAGAGACAGUAAAUGCUGAAUAUCAAAUGGUGCAAUGGAUGUUAAAAGCCCCUGGCACCUUAUUGUCCUGUUCUUUGAUCAGGAUUCAUCUAUGAAACAACAUGAUCAAAACAAACUGAGAGACAGAACACGGAACAGGCGCUUCUGGCCCAAUGAACUGCACCGCCCAGCAACCCACUCAUUGAACAUUGACCUAAUCACAGGACAGUUCACUAUGACCAAUUAGCAUACUAACUGGUACAUCUUUGUCCUGUGCAAGGAAACCAGAGCACCUGGAGGAACUGCAUGUGGUUCAUUGGGGGAACCACACUGGGGGGCACUGGACUUGAACUCCAGAUUCCAGAAUGCUCCCAGCUGUUAAUAAUUACACUACCAACUGCCUCCUGGCCGUUGUGUACUUCCAGUAAAUUUUAUUUUAUUCCAGCAGUGGUUUCCUUUCCUACUGUACUGUGCUUCUGUCUGACAGUCAAACAUUUACAUACCACAAUUAUUUUUGAAAGAGAUGUCGACUUCACACCCAUAGAGUGAAUGGCUCCACAUUCAAUGUUGGACCCAAAGUAAGAGUUAAUCCUCUUGAAAUUGAUCUUCAAACUAAAAUUACCAUCUUCAAUGUACUUUGGAAAUAAUAGAAUUUAGAGGUAGUAUUUGACACAAACUCCGUGGGCUAUUCCUAUGCUAUACUGUUCCUAAUAAAGAGGCCACUGAGUGUAUGAUUGUGAUUUUCAGACCAUCCACUUUAAGUUCGACAUGUGCAUUCAGAAAUAUUCUUCUGCACAUCACUGUUGUAGCGUAUGGUUAAUUGAGUUACUAAAGCCUUCCAGUCAGGUUGAACCAGUUUGGCCAUUCUACUCAGAACCCUCCCACUAAGAAGGCAUUUUCACUCAUAGAACUGCUACUCACUGGAUAGUUUUUUUUUUCGCUUUUCACACUGUUCUCCCAGGAGAUACUUAAACCACCCCAUCUGAGACCAAUAAUGAUUCCAUGAUCAAAGUUACUUAGGUCCCAUUUCUUCCCCAUUCUGAUGUUUGAUCUAAACAACAACUGAACCUCUUGACCAUGUCUGCAUGCUUUUAUGCAUCGAGUUGCCACAUGAUUGGCUGAUUAGUUGUUUGCAUUAACGAGCAGGUGUACCUACUAAAGGGGCUACUGAGUUACAUGUUAGUUUUAGGGGACACAAUGACAACAAGAAUUGUUCUUCCAACAAAUGUCAAAAACAAUGACCUGCCUGAAUUAAAUUUAAAAUCUAGUUCAUGCUAACAUUCAAAACGUUUCAUUAUUCUUUUGUUAGAUAGCAAGGGAAGCAUUUUUAAAUUGCAAUUUAACACCAAUAGCGUAGUCUAAAGAUGAACCAAAUUAGAGCGGCUUAUGUUACACUUACAACCGUGAAAGAGAUGUAGAUCAAUUUGUAAAAAAGCACUAAUUAUAUAUUCUUAUCAUGCAAUCUUAUCUCUGUAUCAUAUUGAUGUUAUGAAUCUUAGCUUCCUCCUGGGCAAAAAUAAAUUAUUGUUG